rnacentral:tRNA from 1 species
UCCCUAGAGGACUAGUGGUUAGGCCUCUGUGGUCUCACCACAGUGGCCCGGGUUCGAUUCCUAGCCAGGGAA